rnacentral:tRNA from 1 species
GGCCCUAUCGUCUAGUGGACUAGGACAUCUGGUUUUCAGCCAGAUAACACCGGUUCGAAUCCGGUUGGGGCUA